rnacentral:lncRNA from 1 species
GGAGCAGAGUCAAAUCAAUAUCCCAGGACAGAAAAAAAGGUCAAAACAAGCAGGACAGGAAGAAGCAGACUUGACUGAGGUUGAGCAGACUUUAGCUAAGGCAGAAAGCACAACGAACUGGCAAGGUGGAUGAGAAGGAGAGAAGCUUAAGUAAUCCAGAGCUGUGUGGAAUCAGCAAUCAAGAAACAGGUCUUCUCAGAGUUUAUGUUAUAAGAAAGCAUCUUACCAAUCACUGCUAGCUCUACGGAUAACGUGGAUGUGUGUGUUAGCCUGGGGGGUGAUACUGGCAGCAUGGACUCUUCCUGGAAGGGGCUUUUCACACGUGUCUACGCCACAACGUGCUUGUUUUCAUGGAUUAGAAGUGAGUGGUGCUCAGACUGCAGGGUUUUAGGCUAAUGCCCAUAGAUGUGCGAUUGGAGCAAAAUAUCACUUUGAGGGCAUUUAUAGUAAAGAAUGAACAUUUUCAAUACACUUAAAAGCUCAAAAUGCUGAUUCUGCAUAAUAUAGGUCAUUUAAUAAGUCCAGUAGGGAGGAUGAAUCCUGAUUCAUGAGUCAGUUAAGUCACUCUCGUCACGAGUAUUGAACAGUUCGUUGAUGACUCCCACAUCACUGUUUUAAUGUCCUGUUGCCCAACCAGACAGAUCCCCUUAAGGUCUAUUUAAGAGAGAAAACAGCUUCACUUGAACUAUUGGUUUUCAAAAAGCCAAGAAUUUGUGGUGGGACUCUCUGCUUACAAUUACCCCGAAGUGCAUUUUCUCACACACAAGAGGUAACCCACCCAAGAACAGAACGGCCUUCAUCCACAAAUAGUGAGUAUUUUGACAGAUAUCCUACUGUGGGAAUCAUCCAAACUAAUCCUCAGUUUACCUCAUUGUUUUCAGUGCAAACAUUUGUUCAGUAAUUUAGUACUUAUUGAUUCAAAAUUACAAGUUCUGAAAGUCAUUCAUCAAGAAGAAUUAUAAAAAAAAUGAAUUGGUUAAGAAUGUGUAUUAUUUAACAUGAAAUGAGGUCCCAGAGAAAAGAGGAACAGAGCAGUAAUUCUGACUGGAGGUGGAUUAGAAGAUGAGUCUGACUAGUUGACCUACAUAGACAAUAAAUUACUACAUAGAUUGUGAAAACAUCUCAUAGGGUCAAUUGCUGACUUUAUAUUGACCCUAUGGGACUACAGAUUACAUUCUCAGGAUGUUUUAUGUUGGCCAAAAAAACUUGUGUUGUAUUCAU